UUUUAAAAAAAUGUUUUAGAAACGGGGUCUUGCUCUGUUACCCAGCUGGAAUGCAGUGGUGUGAUCAUGGUUUACUGCAGCCUCAAAUUCCUGGGCUCAAGCGAUCCUCCUGCCUCAGCCUCCCAAGUAGCUGGGACCACAGGUGCACGCCCACCCCUGGCUGGUCUUUUCCCUGCCUUCCUGCCUGACAGAGCCACCAGCAGAGCCUGAUCUGCCCAGUCCCCUGCUGGGUCCAGGGUGGCUCGCCAUGUUCAGUGAGAGCCCGUGGACAGAGAUGGAGUCUUGCUAGGUCGCCUUGGCUGGUCUUGAACUCCUGGCCUGAAGCAAUCCUCCUGCCUGGGCCUGCCAAAGUGCUGGGAUUGCAGGUGAGAGCCACUGUACCCGGUCGCCAUGUGAUUACUGAGUUGGAACCUUCACUCCACUCCACCUACCCACUCCCGAACUCCAGGGAUGGGGAGCUGAAGAUAGGGUUAAAUCACAACGGCCAGUGGUUUAACCAAGCAUGCGUAUGUCAUGAGACCUGGAUACUGAACUCAGAACCACAGGGCUCAGGGAGUUUCUUUUCUCUUUUCUUUUCUUUUCUUUUUUUUUUUUUGAGACAGAGUCUCACUCUGUCACCGAGGCUGGAGUGCAGUGGUGGGAUCUCAGCUCACUGCAACCUCUGCCACCCAGGUUCAAGCAAUUCUCGUGCCUCAGCCUCCAGAGUAGCUGAGACUACAGGUGCGCACCACCAUAUCUGGCUAAUUUUUGUAUUUUUUGUAGAGAUGAGGUUUCACCACGUCACCCAGGCUGGCCUUCCAGGUGCACGGGGCUCCUGGAUUCAAGCGAUCCACUCGCCUCAGCCUCCCAAAGCACUGGAGUUACAGGUGUGAGCCACUGCACCCAGCCACUCAGGGAGCUUCUGAGCUGUAUCCUCGUGCCAGUAGGCGAAGCUCCUGGAGAGGGCAUGGGUGCCUGUGUGUCCCACUUCCCUGCCUUAUGUGGUAAGUCCACAUGGCUAGUCCUGAGCUGUACCCCUUAUAAUAAACUCUAAUCACAACUCACAACCCAUGAGUUGUCCUGUGAUAGCGAAUUAUCACACUGGAUAAUGAGUGGGGAGGUCAUGGGAAGGCCCACAUUUGUCCUCAGCCAAGUGAAGGCCCCCAGACCCCAUCCUGAAGCUAUCUAGUAGCCUGGGGACCCCUUCUGUGGCUGGCAG
rnacentral:lncRNA from 10 species